CCAACGACCGUACACAGGUGUCACUUGUAGUCUUGAAGCAUAACCAAUCAGCAAGCGACGAUACCUCAUCGUCAUUAUAUCAGGCUAGCACAUCGUCAUAGAAUUCAGUACUGUUUAAUCGUCUUUCGUAUUCGACUCAAGGAUGGAUGGGGUAGUACAGUAAUUGGAAAGGAAAUUAUUCUACAUGUAAAAGAAAUUAUUUCAAAAGUUCUCGUUGCCGGAAAUUUAAGGUGAAUGGAUUUUGUGAUGUUCAGGCAAACUGACUCCUGAGUAAGAUAAAACUUCAUAAAUUCUUUCCUACGGUGCUCUGGUAAGUUCAUUUCUUUAUUCGAUUUUAAUUAUGGAAUGCAUUUAAAAAAGGUGAUAAAUUCUAUUUAUGCCUUAUUUUUUCUACUCGUUAUUUAAAAAUACAAAUGAAAAGAAUACGUUUCAUUUUUGUUUUGUUUCAUACACACUUAUAUCAAUAGCAUCAUAAUUCAUGGGAUCAUAAGAUAUCAAUAUUCUGUCUUGAGCGAAUCCCAAAACAGAAUAGUUUACCUCACGACGUUUAUGAGAUUGAAAUUCAGGAGGUACAUCUCUUUUAUCUUUUCUUAUAGUUCUUACAACAGAGAAUUUUGGAUUUUAACUUGUAAAUAAGUUCGCUUAAUGUGCGAUUUAUAAAUACUUCCAUAGAAUUGUCCGGUCAAUAAGGUUGUUUUCUUCGUGAAAGUACAAAUUAACACGGUCGAAUUACGAUUAAGUUCUUAGGUAAGUUCUAAUGAACUCUUUUGCAAAUUUUUAUGAAAAUUAGUACGUAUCUGUUACUUAGAUUUCCUUAUGAGAUGUUUCUAGGCGAGGCAUCUGAGAUUCGCACACACUUUGCCGGAUACCUCGCAUGCUAACAUCGAAAAAACCUGCACACGCGUUUGCGAGGUUUUUGAAUAAUUUCUACCGAAUUCAUUUUCUUUAAAGAUUCUCCAUCGGUACAACAUUUUGGACUGGUAUUUAUAAAAAUACCACAAAAUAAAAAUGAUAAAAUAUUACAAACUCUACAGUAUAACAUGACUAAGCGCAAUGCAAAGUUAACUUUUAUAUUAUCAUUGUCUGAAUUGUAUGUAUUGGGAGAAAGAUUAUCUACUUCCAUUAUUACCUUCUUCUUCCCUAACUAAUGUCUCAUUUUCUUUCAUAAAUACAAAUUUAACAGGUCGGCAAUAAAAUUGUGAAGGAUUAGUCGAGGAUAGAUAUCGUGAAAUAACGAGAGCGAAAUAUUGCUGUCACAGCCUGUCAAGUAUAUUUGAAAUAAAUAAAUAAAUAGAUGUACAGCCGUAUACGUGAGUCGUUGAUACAAAAUAUAAAACGCGAAAUAAAUACUCGUUAUUGUUCGUCGCGUAACUCAAUAAAUACUCGUUGAUACUUGUUGAUACUCUUUGAUACUCGAUAUGUACAGUCCGCUCGCAAUCGCGUCCGUUUAUUUAUACUGGUCGGGAGAGAGUCGAAAAAUUCAAAUUCGUCUUCAUUCGACGGUUGCAUGUAGCGGCGACAUUGUUUUGCCCGGAGUUUAUUUAUCGUUAUGUUUCAUGCGUCAAGGCUAAGUCAAUGUCUUGAGGCAAAAUAACAGCACGAAUCGCUCUCGACUAGCGUCGUCCUUUGACUCUUGUGCCCUACCAGUGACAACGCUUUUAUUAAGUUAAACUUUUAAAAUAUUUACUGUGUAUCUCUUCCGUCAUCAAAGUAUCUCUUUGUCGUCGUUUCUUUUUUUAAAAAAAUUACCGAUACAAUCGCUUCGACAAUUUACAACGCCUAACCGAAAUCUAUCUGGAACCAAUCGCGAAAACGGACUCUACGUCUAGACCGAGUAACAUACCUAUUCCUGAUGUUUUCUUCCGCGGUUCGACCGCUGCUUGUGCUGGUUUCAUGGUGCGCGUUCGCUUGCUUUACCGGAAUUAGUAUGUCACGAAAUUUGGUGCUUUUUUCCUCUAGAUCGUCCGUAACUACAAAGGCAGAUUUUAAACGGUCUAUGGAAACUGUUAUGUUGCGAUUAUUUAUUUUGACAGUGUAACUUUUUUCGUCUCUUUUUAUAACUUUAAACGGUCCGCCAUACUGUGUCUGUACUGUACUAAGGGCCUCUUACUGCGUCAUGACGUAAGAAAACUUACAGUGACGUUUCUAAUUCUUUAAAAAUGAAAAUUUUCUUUUCGCCAUGAAGCGUAACCGGGUGAGGCCUGAUCUUCUCCAUCCGUUCUUUUAACCGGUUCGCGUAUUCCGAGUUGGCCUGCUGCUUGGUUGCUAAGAAAAAUUCUGCCGGCAAUCGUAUGCCGGUGCCGUAAAUCGUUUCGGCUGUCGUUGCGUUUAAGUCCUCUUACAUCGCGAUUCGAAUGUCUAAUAGUACUAUAGGUAAAAUUUCGAUCCAGUUGCUCGUGUCGUAGCACUUGAUCGCCGCUUUAAGUUGUCUAUGUAAGCGCUCUACCAUCCCAUUAGAAGCGGGAAAAUAGGCCGACGUGCGGAGGUGCGUGACGCUGAGCAAUCGGCAUAACUCUUCAAACAAACGCGAUUCGAAUUGG